rnacentral:rRNA from 1 species
GACGAACGCUGGCGGCGUGCUUAAUACAUGCAAGUCAACUGAACUUUAGGUAGCAAUAUUUAAAGGGAGGUGGCGCACGGGUGAGUAACACGUAGGUAAUCUGCCUUCAGGACUGACAUAAUUCCGCGAAAGCGGGACUAAUAUCAGAUGAUGCAGCGGCUCGACAUCGAGACAGUUGUUAAACCUUCGGGGCCUGAAGAUGAGCCUGCGUCUGAUUAGGUAGUUGGAGGGGUAAUGGCCCACCAAGCCUGCGAUCAGUAGCUGGUCUGAGAGGAUGAUCAGCCACACUGGAACUGAGACACGGUCCAGACUCCUACGGGAGGCAGCAGUAAGGAUAUUGCUCAAUGGCCGAAAGGCUGAAGCAGCAACGCCGCGUGGAGGAUGAAAUACUUUAGUAUGUAAACUCCUGUAAGAGGGGAAAAAUAUACAAUUAUGUUGUAUUGAUUGUACCCUCAGAGUAAGCA